rnacentral:misc_RNA from 1 species
GAUGAAGAACGCAGCGAAAUGCGAUAAGUAGUGUGAAUUGCAGAAUUCAGUGAAUCAUCGAAUCUUUGAACGCACAUUGCGCCCCCUGGUAUUCCGGGGGGCAUGCCUGUCCGAGCGUCAUUGCUGCCCUCAAGCACGGCUUGUGUGUUGGGCCCCGUCCUCCGAUUCCGGGGGACAGGCCCGAAAGGCAGCGGCGGCACCGCGUCCGGUCCUCGAGCGUAUGGGGCUUUGUCACCCGCUCUGUAGGCCCGGCCGGCGCUUGCCGAUCAACCCAAAUUUUUAUCCAGGUUGACCUCGGAUCAGGUAGGGAUACCCGCUGAACUUAAGCAUAUCAAUAAGCGGAGGA